AAAAGCUCCUGAUCGGAUGUUCCAAGAGCGUCUGUAAAUAGAAAGUCGGUAGUUAGAGACUAGGGAGGGACAUAGGAGGAGGAGGAGAAGAGGCGAGGGGAUACUGAUGAUGAUGAUGAUGGUGAUGAUGAUGAUGGUGAUGGUGGUGGUGAUCAGCCUCGGUGACAGCAGCUUCUCCGUCUGCCAUCUCUGCGCUAGCAGACAGGAACUGACCGGCGGGGACACCGCGCCAGUUUUGACCCGAUUAGGACUCUGACAAGCCGGCGUUGGUGUGCCGAGGUCCUGCGAAACGGGCGCUCCUCGUUAGCGGCAACUUGUUCCAAGCCAAAAGUUUCUGCGCCUUAAAAGUGGAGUGGAUGAACCUCAGCGUUCGUCUGUGUGUCUGUUUGUUUCUGUGCUUCGGUAACAUGAUCUGAGCCCGAGGAGGGUGCAACAGCCAAGUCCCGGACUCGUGGAGAGGAGACGUGAGAGAGGACAGCCGGACAUUAUUUCAUGGGAAGAAGACAGCAACCACAUACUGGGUGGAAACCUCAGACCCUCUGAAGCUUGACGUGACGGCUGCCCAGUCGAGCAUGGAGCACGAUCUCAGAAUGGGACUGUCUCUUUGGACCAUAAUGGCUAUUGUUUGUAACUCUGUCGUGGGGCUGCUCAUCCUCAUCCUUUUUGUUGUACUCUACAAAGCCUGCAAGGUGCCUUCACAUCAAGAGAAAGUUCUGUUUUUUGCUGCAAGGCUGGACCAGAAAAACGCUGAGGAGAAGUACAUGCUGACCGCAGCCUGACUGAGAUCUUGAAAAUAUAAAGUUGAUAUGAGAACAAAUGCCAAGACAGAAUGGCAGAGGAGGACCAGCCAUCCCAAGCUUUUCAGCUUUGCUCUCUCUCUCUCCCUCGUCCUUUUGUGUUGAACCCCGUUUACAACGGUCCACCAUCAUCCCUAUCUCAUCUGUACCAUUCGGCGGAGCUCAGAGUAAACUAACUGAGUUAAGAUUUGAGGCAAGACCAACAGCAACAACAACAAGCGAGGCCCAAAUCCUCUUAUCUCUGCUGUGGGUCGCUGGGACUGUCCAUCUGUCAGUCGGUUUGGCUCACUCCACACAAACAGAUCGUCAUCUCUUCCUCCUCUGCUUCAGUCUUCCUCAUCACUCCACACAAGGCGGCUGAGAGGAUGUGGAGGUGAAACAGCAACCAUGCAAUGAAGUGGAAUAGAGGAGCUGGUACAAAAGCAAUGAUUUUUAAAAAAAAUUUUUAGAAUGAGCAACAGAAAUGUGACUCUGUUGCUCUCAAGCAGUUUGCUGUUUAUUUUAACUGCAGCGCUAAUGAUGGAAGCAACAGAGCAGCAAACACACAACAGGUAGAAAACCCGCAGCCUAAAGGAGGAGGCAGGGAGCACAGAGACGUUGCUGCAGGUCGUCUCUGAUCCACGACAGAUGGAGAUAAAGUUUGGUUCAUAUAUGGGAGGAAAGGAGAUAAAAUUCAAGGGAAGAAUUGGAAA